ensembl:lncRNA
UUUUUUUUUUUUUUUACUUUAGUGCUUUAUAAUUUUUAGAGAAAGCCAUAUCUUCACACUGCAGUAUAAUUUUGUGCUGUUGGUCAGGAACAUAGAGUCUUUUGUUACAAACCUGUCCAUGCAAAGGGCUUGAUCAUUUGUGAUGAGUAUUUUUAGCUGGGUGAAUAGGACCAAGUAGUACUUAGGACUCUGGGGGGAUGUGUGAUCAUCUGCAGGGUCAAUUUUAGGUCCUGGAGGAGACCAAAUGGUGUUCUCAAAAAACUCUUGGGGAUAUAAAUGCAGUGAUUUUGCUGAAUUUGCUAUUGCAAAUUGUAGUAAACCUUGGAAAAAAACAAACAAACAAACAAAAAAAACCCCACACCACCAAAAAGCGCUGCAUUUUGAAAGCUCUACAGUAGCGUUGAAUAGUGCCGUAUCUUUAUAUAGUCUUUGUAGUAACAGAGUCAGUUCUUUGUUUUAGAUACUUUCUUCAGCUGGCAUUGCAUUUGUCAUACUUCAGUGUAAUCAUGCUACUCAAAAUGCUGUGAUUUUUUUUUUUUUUUGUAGAAAAAGUGCUGGAUUAUGCAUACAUGGCUGCUGCUAUGAUGUAGAAUUAAAAUAUAAACUACUGCUUUGCACUUGUAUUUAAAGUGAAAGAAUUUUUCUCUAAGUGCACAACAUAUCCUGUAUUAUCUUAUUCUGUAUAUCUGCAAACAAGUAUUGUUUAGUAUAACAUUGGUUCUCUAUCAGUAUAAAUAUGUGAAGCUUCAAAAUGUGUUUUAAAAUAGAUUGUAGAACCUUACAACAGUCACGUGGUAAGCCAGAGGAAGAUUGAAUUUUCAGGAAAAGAAUCCCACAUUCUUGUUGUCAAGUCCUAGUAUUGAUUAAAAGCUUCCAGUUGAGAUAAUUGUUACUAAACGUACAGAUGAAUGUAACUGUAAAAAUACAGGGUUCCCCUCCUCCUGCCUCCUCCCCAAAAUUAAGUUUUUAGUUGUUGCAUUUAGUUAAGGUGUUGACCAACUGCCUUGAAAUGUAUGGGAAGAAGUAUCAAGAAAUGUAACUCUUGUGUGAAGAAGGCAAGCUUCUAAGGAAUGUGUGAUCACAGGCACCUAGAGGAUAAGAGUUCUGAGAGCAAAAAUAGAAGCAUAGAAGAACAAGAGAAUGAUGGAAAAAGGCCGAUGUUCAACACUGAAGAAGCUUUCUGGAGUGGGAGAUGCACAGUGAAUUAUGAAAAACUGAUGUCUACUGGAAAUGCCAUACCAUGAAAAAUAUGCGCUAAUGUGUUUCUAAAUUGUAUAUUGUCUGCCUUAAAUAUAAAAUGCUCACAGAGACCUAACCCGAGUGAAAAAUACAAAAAUUACUAUACCAAAAGAAACUGCUUAAGAUUGUGCCAUGCCAGACAGCAAUUCUGAAAAGAUGUUUGGCUAAGUGUUUUUCUGAAUUUUGCUUUUUGAUUAAGACAUUUACAAUACUUUAUAUUAAAGUAGGAAAAGUCCCUUUAAGGAUGGGGGUGCAGGGAAGGAAGAAACCUGCUACUUAUGGUUGAGCUGCAAACGUUUGAGCACAUGGUUUAUGGAAGAGAUCAUGAAAGGGAUGUUUUUUAGAAAACUGUGUAUUGAUACCUGAAACUUAACUGUGCAUUUCUUUUGAGUUUGGAUAGUGAAAAUAAAAUAACUAAAUACAAUGAAUGGCAAA